rnacentral:rRNA from 1 species
UACAGAGGUCUCAAGCGUUGUUCGGAUUCAUUGGGCGUAAAGGGUGCGUAGGCGGCGCGGUAAGUCGGGUGUGAAAUCUCGGAGCUUAACUCCGAAACUGCAUUCGAUACUGCCGUGCUUGAGGACUGGAGAGGAGACUGGAAUUUACGGUGUAGCGGUGAAAUGCGUAGAUAUCGUAAGGAAGACCAGUGGCGAAGGCGGGUCUCGUGGACAGUUCCUGACGCUGAGGCACGAAGGCCAGGGGGAGCAAACGGG